rnacentral:rRNA from 1 species
CCUACGGGUGGCAGCAGUGAGGAAUAUUGGUCAAUGGGCGAGAGCCUGAACCAGCCAAGUCGCGUGAGGGCGUACUGCCCUAUGGGUUGUAAACCUCUUUUGUCGGGGAGCAAAAGCCGGACGUGUCCGGCUGUGAGAGUACCCGAAGAAAAAGCAUCUGCUAACUCCGUGCCAGCAGCCGCGGUAAUACGGAGGAUGCGAGCGUUAUCCGGAUUUACUGGGGGUAAAGGGAGCGCAGGCGGGGCGUUAAGCCUGGUGUGAAAGCCCGCGGGCCAACCGCGGGACUGCAUUGGGAACUGGCGCGCGGGAGUGGCGGAGGGGUAGGCGGAAUUCCUAGUGUAGCGGUGAAAUGCGUAGAUAUUAGGAGGAACACCAGUGGCGAAGGCGGCCUACUGGACGGUGACUGACGCUGAGGCUCGAAAGCGUGGGGAGCAAACAGGAUUAGAUACCCCUGUAGUC